UUCUCUCUAUUUCUCUGUUUCUCGUAUUUGUUCUUUGUCCCGGUUUGUAGUAUGGUUAUUCUCAAUUCUCUUUUUGUUCUCUGUGGUGUGGAUCUGAGCAACUCUUUAGAUUUUUUUUUUUUAUUCUUCUCGAUUCCUUUUUUGUUCUCUCUAUGGUGUGGAUAUGCUACUAUUAGUUGUGCUGGUAGUAGUGUUGUUAUUUUUGUGUUUAUUUUCGUUGUUGAUUUUCUGCUUCUGUUUUAUAAUAUUUUUAAGAUUAGUGGAUUUAAUAUUAGGUGUUCUGGCAAGUUGAAUUUACUUAAGAUUAGUGGAUUUAUUAGUGUUUAUAUAUAUUUUAUUUUCUUUAAACUAAGAUCAACUUUUACACACUUAUGUAACUAUCAAAUGUAGAAUUGGCUCUUAUAUUCAAAGGUGAAGGCCAACGUAUUUACAUUGAUUUAUUUCUAAUGAGAAUGUUGGCUCCUAUGUCAUAUGUGCAUAAGAAAUGAGGCUGAAGUGAAUAAGAGUUGGUAGAUUUUUCAGUUUGUAAAUC